UCUAACAACUCAAGCAGAAUUCGUUAGCUUGUUCUAUUGAUAUAUAUAUAUAUAUACUUAAUCAUCAUAAUAGAAGACCAUACCUACAGCUCCGACAAAGGAUGACGGUGUGUAAUCAAACGGCACGUGUCUCUCAAAAGCUGAGCUCGUUAAGUGCACACAGAGAUAGAAGCAAGAAAGAAUGUAUUUUUUCUUUUUAUAUAUGACUACUCUUUGUAUAACAAUCACUUAGACCUGUAUUUUUGAUAUUGUAGAUCACAGAGGAGAGGACAGGCUGUAGUCCCCAGGAGAGCGACGAAGAGCCACGGGAAGAAGGAGCUAUCUCAUAAGAAGUUUGGUCAUGCGUCAAGGAACAAUCCAUGUCUGCGUCCAGGAGUGAAGGUCAACGCUAUGCUUGUGAAGAAACUGAAUGUCAGGAAAAUGACAAUUGCUGGCUGGAAAUAGAAGCCAUUAAGUCUGCUAUGUUCACGGGUCGUAUAAGUAGAAUGUCAUCAAGCCGAUUGACCAUCUCUGACAGAUCAGAAUGAUGACCUUAGGUGUACUAUAGGACUCGAGUUUGUGAAAAUGAAGGACAUUGUUAUUGAACUUGCUCGUUUACUAACUUAACCUUCUGGAAAUAAUGUCCCUAAAGAUGCUAACUUUAAAAAGAAAAAAAAAACUAAUUACGAAUUCAAGGUACACGAAACCUUACAAUUGAACCCGAAGAUCAAUGAACACUACCAACUUAAUCUCCUAGAAAUAUUUUUAUUACAGACUUAUUCCACUGAAAGAUAUCUCGUAUAAGAAGCCAGGUGACGUCACCAACAUUGAUUUUAUUGUAAUAGUGAUUUUGCAAAUCCUAGUUUAUCAAACUAGAAACCUUCGUCAAAUUAAAUGUUUGAGAACUUCGAGAUUGUAAUAUCCACGUGUUAUAAAUUUAAAAAACGUCACAAUGUAAGCUCCUGAAUUGACAGAAGGCACUUCAGUUGAGCUUACAGACACGCACGUGCUGUACACUUCACCAAUAAGAAUUCCUGGUUUGGUAAUACCUUUGAAAUAAAGAAUUUCAUAAGCA